AACGAACGCUGGCGGCGUGCCUAACACAUGCAAGUCGAACGAUGCCUUCGGGCAUAGUGGCGCACGGGUGCGUAACGCGUGGGAAUCUGCCUUUCGGUUCGGAAUAACUCAGGGAAACUUGAGCUAAUACCGGAUAACGUCGCAAGACCAAAGAUUUAUCACCGAAAGAUGAGCCCGCGUAGGAUUAGCUAGUUGGUGAGGUAAAGGCUCACCAAGGCGACGAUCCUUAGCUGGUCUGAGAGGAUGAUCAGCCACACUGGGACUGAGACACGGCCCAGACUCCUACGGGAGGCAGCAGUGGGGAAUAUUGGACAAUGGGCGAAAGCCUGAUCCAGCAAUGCCGCGUGAGUGAUGAAGGCCUUAGGGUUGUAAAGCUCUUUUACCCGGGAAGAUAAUGACGGUACCGGGAGAAUAAGCCCCGGCUAACUCCGUG
rnacentral:rRNA from 1 species